UUUCAGAAAUUUGUUGGAUUAGUUGCGAUUGAGCAGCGGCCAGACAACCGUAGGGAUGGAAUCCACAGAUGCUGAGUUUAUCUCAUCAUUCUACUAAUUCCAUCUCACAUUU